GAUCCGCCACACGUUGCCCAUACAACGGUCGAGUGGUUGCACGAUGAUUGAAUUAGGCAAGAUGACACAUCAACUCGGUCCUUAACCAUGACAAGAUGGACAUCUCCCGACAUUGCUCAACCACUAAGGUACACAACCUCCUGGCAUUUCACACAAGAAACACCCAUCCAUCUCAUCUACACAUCCCUUGCCUUUGAACCCAGAAACC
rnacentral:lncRNA from 1 species